rnacentral:RNase_P_RNA from 3 species
GGUAGGUGUUGGAUAGCUACUCUAUAAUGUAAGUUGUAGAGAGGAAAGUCCGAACACAGUUUACCCCGUAUUUAUGCGGGGCGAAAAAUGAGUAGUGGGUAACGCCCGCAUGUAGUGAUGCAUAGUUGCGAACAGUGACGAACCGAUUUAGUUCGGGUGAAACGGCUAAAUACUUACUUCUGUGCAAGAUCGUGUCCAGCCCCACUUUUAAUAAAGUGGGGCUGGGAGAAUCGCUUGAGCCCGAGAGUAAUCGAGGGCCUAGACAAAUUGCUAUCGUCCCCGACCUUGGUCGAGGACCACAGAAUUCGGCUUAUAGACACCUACAACAA